GUAAAGUUAAAAGCUGAUAAAAUAAAAUGUUCCUUCACAGAAACAAGUUGCAAAUUUCCACCCUCUAUACCACUUUAUUAAAUAUUCACUUUUCAGUUUAUAAAGCUGUCAGAAAACUAAGAUCAAAUUUUGCCUUGGUUUAAAAUUUAGCUGUUGAAAAUUUAUUAGAAGACAGCAAAACAUUUGCAUUAGUCAUCUAACACUUCAGUGUUCUGUAUGGUUUUAGAAGGGAGGACUAUUGAAAAUGUGGAUUCUUUGGCUUUUGUUUCCAGUUAUAUUGUUGUUUAAGAUUUUAGUUCAGUUAAAUUUAUUCCAUCCUUGGGGUUUAACUAUAUAAUCAUUGCUCGGUCAAACAUAUGUAAGUUGACUGAAUAAACUUAUGAGAAUGUUACUAUUUGUUUUGGAGUUGCCCAAAACCUGGUGGAACGUUUAAGAAAAAUGGGUUGCACUGUUUGUUAUUUGACUAAAGGUAAUGACAACUAAAUCUCCUAAAGUCCAGUGCCAAGUUAAGGUGUAAAUUGAGGAGUGUGCAAAUUAAUUGUGCUGGUGUUGCAUAUGUGUUGUGUUCUUUUUGUUUUUCAUUUAUAGGGUGCAUUCCAUUUUGUAACCUAAUGACUGAGCAAAAUUAUAUUGGAAAAGGAAAUAUUCCACAACUAGCUAUCAUUUUAGAUUAUUUAUAAGCUACUAUCUCUGUAUUAUGUCAACCCUAAGCCUAGGGUGGCUUGACCAAUUAUUUUUUUAAAUUCAUACACUUAUAAAUUUUGUUUGUAUCAUAAUGAGACGCUCAUUAGUCAUGAGGUCUUAGAGCUGCAUAUCUAUCUUGUUGCAUCUCUAGAAUGAGAUAUAUGUUUUACCUUUUCUUUUGAUUUGGAAAUGUGAACCUUUAGAUCAUUUUGAGGUGAUUGGCGGUAAUCAUUUUUAUGAUUGACUUCCAAAUUUCUUCCUCUUUUACACAUUUUUAUGCUAUAGCUAACUACUAGGCAUUUCUGCGAAACAAAGAUCACCUUUGGCUAAUUGGUCUUUGAGGUUGGAACUAAGAGCACGAUUUGAAGGAAAAAAAA
rnacentral:misc_RNA from 1 species